GACGGGUGAGUAACGCGUGGGAACGUACCUUUUGCUACGGAAUAACUCAGGGAAACUUGUGCUAAUACCGUAUGUGCCCUUCGGGGGAAAGAUUUAUCGGCAAAGGAUCGGCCCGCGUUGGAUUAGCUAGUUGGUGAGGUAAAGGCUCACCAAGGCGACGAUCCAUAGCUGGUCUGAGAGGAUGAUCAGCCACACUGGGACUGAGACACGGCCCAGACUCCUACGGGAGGCAGCAGUA
rnacentral:rRNA from 1 species